rnacentral:tRNA from 1 species
GCGGAGGGUGCCAACGGCUUGCCGCAGCCGUUGUCCGGGUUCGACUCCCGGCAAUCCGCA